rnacentral:lncRNA from 1 species
CUUAGAGACAUGGAACACGAGGUACAGUUUUGGGUAUCAUCUAAAGACCAGCAGAAAAGGAGACUGGUUUAGUCUUAACUUUCAGAAAAGCCAAUCGAUGCAAGCUAUGGAAUGGACAGAUUUCAGCUCAAAAGGAGGCAGGCUUCCUGGGGUUGAAAACUUGGCCGACGGUGCUAAGCUCAUCUGGUGAUGGACAAGGCUGCCACCCAGCGCCCAGGCUCACACCCUCAUCCUGUUAAGGCGUUACAAAGACCAUCAGCACCACAUAGACUCUGAGGUCCCUUCUGACUCUGAGUCUGAAGCUUGAGGCAGCCCUGAACAAGCGUAUCAGCACCGUGUGAAUCAGGAGAAUGCACAUCAAUGAACAAAAAGGAGAUUGUAGGAAUGAAGCAUAAUGAAGCCACCUUGCCUCCUGAAAUGAUGAUGACCGUAAUAGCCACCCAGGCCUGGCCGUCACAAAGUGUUGCCACAGACCCGUCUCAGGUAAUGCUCCCAACUACCCAACUAGGAAGUCAGCAUUUCCCUGGAUGUUGAUGAUUCUGUCAUUCACAGCAAUGCCUGUAGGUGCAGAUGCCCUUGUACUCUCCAAGUGAGUCAGACAACUCCGAGUGUGCCAUCUGACACCAGAUUCUACCGUCACCCAUGAUGGGCAGCCUCCAUCUUUGCCAAAAUCUCCAAAUACAAAGCCCAAGUACAUAGUUCCUCUCUUUCUCUUUAAGAGAAAUUGUUUCUGUGGUUUUUGGGGUAAAGACACAUGCACCAUUUAAACUCUGCAAAGAAAAUCAGACCUUCAUCUUUUAGAUGCACUGUUCGCCCCGAGUCGAUUGCAAUGGCCGUUCCACCCACACUUAGGGGGCAGUUGUUGGGCAACAGUGGCCUGGUGCAUGCAUCAGGUCACCACAAGAUAAAGUGUCUGUAUAGUCCCUCAACUUCCCGGAAUUCACAGCCAUGGGAACGGCUUGGUGAUACAGCACGCAAACACCUGCUCCAUCUCACAUUUUAAGCUCCCUGUUAAAGUCAGCAACACAGAGAAGCCAAAUCUACUUUCAUACAGUCAACCACGGAAACUCAGAUCCUAUUAGUUUAUAGCCUCUGGAUUUACAUUUCUUCUUUGGAUACAGCUCUGGGGAUAUCACUUUUCUCAGAGCAUGUGGAGGGAGAGCUGGGAAUCACAAAAAGCACCAAAUGCAAGAUUGCAGCUAGUGAUCAUAUCCAGAAAUGUCAAAAAAGCACUGGAUCAUUCUGAGCAAGUCUUCCAAAGGCCACAACUCUGAACGGCUCAAGGCAGGAGAAGACCCUUUAUUCUGCAUCUACCCUCUGCUCUCUGCAGAAGUGAAUCCACAGCACAGUCCCUGACACACAACAGACACUACGUAGUUACCUGCUGAAUACUGUGGGCAUGAAGGUCAAGUACAGUGUUUACAGAAGCGGCCACCAUUAUUGCAUUCACAAUAAUUUCCAAGGCUUCAGCAUGGGAAGGGGAAUCUCUGGGAGGAAUGGAGGCAAAGGAACGGCUCUUGCUUGAGGCUUGAGUGUGAAUUAGAAGGCAGGAACUGUGCCAGGUGGUAUAAAUAACAAAAUAGUGACCGAGUAUCCGUGCAGAUUGCUGGUGGGCUUGGUCCUUCAGGUGCCUUAACUAUCCCCUUUAACCGUCAUAUCAAUUCUACAUGCUUUUGCUCUCUCUUUUUAUCAUUGAGUUGGUUAAUACUGAGCCUCAACUUGAUUGGACUGAAGGAUGCAAAGUAUUGAUCCUGGGUGUGUCUGUGAGGAUCAUGCCAAAGGAGAUGAACAUUUGUGUCAGUGGGCUGGGAAAGGCAGACCCACCCUUAAUCUGGGUGGGCAUCAUCUAAUCAGUUGCCAGCAUGGCUAGAAUAUAAAGCAGGCAGAAAAACGUGAAAAGCCUAGACUGGUUUAGCCUCCCAGCCUACAUCUUUCGCCCAUGCUGGAUGCUUCCUGCCCUCGAACAUCAAACUCCAAGUUCUUCAGCUUUGGAACUUGGACUGGCUCCCUUGCUCCUCAGCUUGCAGAUGGCCUAUUGUGGGACCUUGUGAUCAUGUGAGUUGAUACUAUUUA